rnacentral:tRNA from 1 species
GGUGACGUGUCUGAGCGGCCGAAGGAGCUCGCCUCGAAAGCGAGUGUAGGGAGACCUACCGUGGGUUCAAAUCCCACCGUCACCGCCA